rnacentral:rRNA from 1 species
GUGCUUACACAUGCAAGNNNNNACGAGAACGGUACUAGCUUGCUAGUAUGUCAGCUAAGUGGCGGACGGGUGAGUAAUGUAUAGUUAAUUUGCCCCUUGGAGAGGGAUAGCCACUGGAAACGGUGAUUAAUACCUCAUACUCCUUCUCUCUUAAUGAGAGUUGGGAAAUGUUUUUUCGCCAAGGGAUAAGACUAUAUGGUAUCAGGUAGUUGGUGGGGUAAGAGCCUACCAAGCCAAUGACGCCUAGCUGGUCUGAGAGGAUGAUCAGCCACACUGGAACUGAGACACGGUCCAGACUCCUACGGGAGGCAGCAGUGGGGAAUAUUGCACAAUGGAGGAAACUCUGAUGCAGCAACGCCGCGUGGAGGAUGACGCAUUUCGGUGUGUAAACUCCUUUUAUUAAGGAAGAAAUUUGACGGUACUUAAUGAAUAAACANCCGGCUAACUCCGGUGNCAGCAGCCGCGGUAAUACGGAGGGUGCAAGCNGUUACUCCGAAAUCNCUGGGGCGUAAAAGNGCGCCCCAGGCCGGCUAUUUAAGUUGGAAUGU